UGGUAUUACUGACUUUAUGCAGUCUACAAAUGUCUGCAUUUGUUUUUAUUUUAAAUGUAUGACCUAUUAAUUCCAAAGUUUGAGCGCAAAAACGGGUCGCUAAAUUUAUUUGUCGAGCAUUCAUUUUGGUUAGUUAACAAAUGAACACAUCCCAGAUUAAUUUUUCGGCGAAGUUUGUAUUAAAGAUUUGACAGAUUUUGACACAAAUGAUCCGUCAACUUGUUAAUGAAUUUUGAAAUUGAAUGUGCAGGUUUUCGCACGUUACAUUACCAUACUUGCCAAAAAAUUGUGUUCCUCAUUCUCAACAAAAGUGAUGGAUCGUGACUGAUUAAGGGAUUUCAUGGUUACCACUAAAUUUCCGCAAUCAAAUAUUCGUGGUCUUGCAUCAGCAACAGAAAAUGGUUCAUUUACAAACACUGGCUGUUUUCACUGCGGGCAUAGUAGGGGGGAUUUGUUUUGGAACUUAUAAAGAUGCAUUAUGGAAUUUUCUUGAUUUGGAUUCGAAAAGAAAACAGUGGACUGACUGGGGCUCCGAAUGUGAAGCACUAAAAGAGGAGGGGGAAUGUACCUGCUAUAACGAAGACUGAUCCAAUGAAACCAAAUUUUUAUUUGUCACAUUAAAAAUUAAUUACAAAAUGUCAUAAUAUUUGAA